rnacentral:lncRNA from 1 species
GUAAAGGCAUAUAUUUGCUUCAGAAAAAAAUUAACAUUAGCAAUCAGAACUACAUCUUAAAUAUCCAAAAUAUGACUUUGUUAACAUUGCCUCUCUGGAACUUAACUAUGGUUUUUUGUUUUCUGUGGGGUUUUUUUUUGUUUGUUUGUUUGUUUUUUUGGUCAUAGAAAUUAGUAAGAAAUAGUGGCCCUCAGAGUUCCCAUCAUAGCUCAGUGGUAACGAACCCGACUAACAUCCAUGAGGAUGUGGGUUCAAUCCGUGGUUGCCAUGAGCUGUGGUGUAGGCUGGAAGACGCGGCUUGGAUCUGGUGUUGCUGUGGCUGUGGUGUAGGCCGGCAGCUGCAGCUUCGAUUUGACCUGUAGCCUGGGAACCUCCAAAUGCCGAGGGUUCGGCCCUAAAAAAAGAGCAAAAGAAAAAAGAAAGGAAAGAAAUAGGGCCCUUGGACAUAAUGUGAAUUGAUGGAAUUCCUCUUACCCUCACAGUGCCGUCUGUGAAAUGGAGCGAAUAACCCUUAACUCAUAGAACGGAUAGCGUGUGCUAAGGGCCCAGCUCUAGCAGACACGCAGUGAGCACCGCUGGGCGCUGUUCGCCCUCUUUCAAGGACUUGACCUCCACAAGCCCUUCGAGCAGCAUCUGGCCUUCUGGUCCCUGACCUGCGUCAGCCACUCCGAGGGCGGGUGCACACCCUCCCUGGGAGGUUAGUGCGCAGGCGCUGUGGGCACCGGGCGUGUCAGCUCUCCCUGCCGGUCAGGACAGGCGGGAAGGACCAGGCAUCGUUUCCAGACUCCUCUCCGGCCUCCGCUGCGCCCCGGAACGAUCCGCUUGCCCGUGCUGCUGCGUGCCAUUUGUUCCUGUGCCCUCUCAAUGGCAGAUCUGGCCUGUCCAACCACACUGGCAGUUGACACUGUGUCCUCUGGUGGUGUUGGAUCCCAGCCUCCUCCUCUCAGUUGGCCCUAAGCCAUCACAGGACUCAAGCCAGGUAUGAGCCAUUUCCUGUGAGAGAAUGUUUUAUUAUAUAACUACUCUGAAGAACCGUGCAACCCUUGGCACCAGACUGGCCUUUCGUAGUGAGCCCUUUGAGGACACGUCGUGAGGUCACCCACAGUCUCUACACAGGUACAGUCAACUUGGAUCAGAGACUCUUAGUCCUGGUUUAGUGAAUGUGUGUAUAAUGGAUAUUUGAUUUGCCCACCCAGCAUCCUUUCUGGUCGGGUACCAUAAUUUUUCCUUUCCCAUAUAGUUCUGUAGGGUCGACCCAACCUCUGACCAAUCAGAACAACGCAGCACUCCUCAGACACAGAGAUGGCUUCAGGGAUAUGCACACAACCUGUUGGGCCACCAGCCGUCUUACCUGGAAUGUUACUGGAGCUACAUCAGAGAAGAGGUGCUUUCUGA